rnacentral:rRNA from 1 species
GAGUUUGAUCCUGGCUCAGAGCGAACGCUGGCGGCAGGCCUAAUACAUGCAAGUCGAACGGCUCUUCGGAGCAGUGGCGGACGGGUGAGUAACGCGUGGGAACGUGCCCUUUGGUUCGGAACAACACAGGGAAACUUGUGCUAAUACCGGAUGUGCCCUUCGGGGGAAGAUUUAUCGCCAUUGGAGCGGCCCGCGUUGGAUUAGCUAGUUGGUGGGGUAAUGGCCCACCAAGGCGACGAUCCAUAGCUGGUCUGAGAGGAUGAUCAGCCACACUGGGACUGAGACACGGCCCAGACUCCUACGGGAGGCAGCAGUAGGGAAUCUUGCGCAAUGGGCGAAAGCCUGACGCAGCCAUGCCGCGUGAAUGAUGAAGGUCUUAGGAUUGUAAAAUUCUUUCACCGGGGAAGAUAAUGACGGUACCCGGAGAAGAAGCCCCGGCUAACUUCGUGCCAGCCGCCGCGGU